CCCGCUGAGUUUAAGCAUAUCAAUAAGCGGAGGAAAAGAAACUAACAAGGAUUCCCUUAGUAACGGCGAGCAAACCGGGA
rnacentral:ncRNA from 1 species